ACUAGUCAUCUGUCGAGUAUCCUUUCGGGCUUUUCACAGAUGGCCUUUAACUUAAGGAGUGCAUAGUGGCCCGUAUCGCUGGCAUUAACAUUCCUGAU
rfam:Shewanella algae strain BrY contig_22_1, whole genome shotgun sequence.